rnacentral:rRNA from 1 species
AGUGAACGCUGGCGGUAGGCCUAACACAUGCGAGUCGAACGGCAGCACAGUAAGAGCUUGCUCUUACGGGUGGCGAGUGGCGGACGGGUGAGGAAUACAUCGGAAUCUACUUUUUCGUGGGGGAUAACGUAGGGAAACUUACGCUAAUACCGCAUACGACCUACGGGUGAAAGCAGGGGAUCUUCGCACCUUGCGCGAUUGAAUGAGCCGAUGUCGGAUUAGCUAGUUGGCGGGGUAAAGGCCCACCAAGGCGACGAUCCGUAGCUGGUCUGAGAGGAUGAUCGGCCACACUGGAACUGAGACACGGUCCAGACUCCUACGGGAGGCAGCAGUGGGGAAUAUUGGACAAUGGGCGCAAGCCUGAUCCAGCCAUACCGCGUGGGUGAAGAAGGCCUUCGGGUUGUAAAGCCCUUUUGUUGGGAAAGAAAAGCAGCAGGUUAAUACCCCGCUGUUCUGACGGUACCCAAAGAAUAAGCACCGGCUAACUUCGUG